rnacentral:rRNA from 1 species
CUACGUGCCAGCAGCCGCGGUAAUACGGAAGGUUCGGGCGUUAUCCGGAUUUAUUGGGUUUAAAGGGAGCGUAGGCCGGAGAUUAAGUGUGUUGUGAAAUGUAGACGCUCAACGUCUGACUUGCAGCGCAUACUGGUUUCCUUGAGUACGCACAACGUUGGCGGAAUUCGUCGUGUAGCGGUGAAAUGCUUAGAUAUGACGAAGAACUCCGAUUGCGAAGGCAGCUGACGGGAGCGCAACUGACGCUGAAGCUCGAAGGUGCGGGUAUCGAACAGGAUUAGAUACCCUGGUAGUCCGCACAGUAAACGAUGGAUGCCCGCUGUUGGUACCUAGUAUCAGCGGCUAAGCGAAAGCAUUAAGCAUCCCACCUGGGGAGUACGCCGGCAACGGUGAAACUCAAAGGAAUUGACGGGGGCCCGCACAAGCGGAGGAACAUGUGGUUUAAUUCGACGCAACGCGAAGAACCUUACCAGGCCUUGACAUCCCCUGCGAAGCUGUAGAGAUA